rnacentral:rRNA from 1 species
UACGUAGGUGACCAGCGUUGUCCGGAUUUACUGGGCGUAAAGAGCGCGCAGGCGGUCGUUCAAGUCGAGUGUGAAAGCCCCUGGCUCAACUGGGGAAGUGCACCCGAAACUGAGUGGCUUGAGUACUAAAGAGGGUCGCGGAAUUCCCGGUGUAGAGGUGAAAUUCGUAGAUAUCGGGAGGAACACCGGUGGCGAAGGCGGCGACCUGGGUAGAUACUGACGCUGAGGCGCGAAAGCGUGGGGAGCAAACAGG